UAAUAAACUGUUGAACAGGAAAUGCUAAAAUACAAUGAGCCUGUAUAGUCAGAUUUUGCCCUGGACAAAGCAGAGGACUAAUCUGCAGGUGAAAAAAAAUGCUGCUAUGUACAUAAACUUUUUACAUUUUUAAAUUUUUUUUCUUUGAGCUACCUGUCUGUUAGUGAAAUUAACUUAACAACUACUUAGCCUUCUGUUUUGCUAAAGCAGCUUGACAUAAAUCAGUCAAAGAAUUAACAUGACUCAGCUACUUUGGCCCAGCCCUUUAUGACAUUAUUUGUAUAUGGAAAUAAACAUAGGUGAACUACAAAUAAAUAAGAUUUACUAUCUCCCUGCAGAUCUUAUUUUUCUUGUGCUCUGUAUUGACCAAGUCACAAUUCAAAUAACUGAUGAUGAAAAGCAAUGUCUGGAACCUUUUUGGCUUUACCAUUGAGGACUGACACUCAUUUAAAGGAUCUGCUGUGUUUCGCUGGCAUAAAAACUGGGUGAUGCAGGAGGAAUUUUAGACUAUAACACCAUUCAGAUGUUGGCUUCCUGAACCUUGCUGUCAUAACUUGAAUAUAGUCCUGCUCUAUGCUCUAGAAUGAGGAUCCUUAGAAGAGAAUGAGGCCUCAGACUGUAACCCCGUGUGACCAAAGCGGAAGCUGUGGAAGGAAUAACUAUUCUGAAAGAAAAAAACCCCAGCAGCUCAACUGCAAAAAUCCAGCCUGGAAAGCACCAAACAAUUUCUCGCAUAAAUCUUCAGCAAUUUCCUUGCUUACAGGCAAUUCCAAACUCUUUGAUGUCAAAAUAGUUUAUACAGUCACAACAUGUGAGUUGUUAUAAAAGGUGUUUGAAUGCAAUGGAGCGUAGAAGAAGGUGAACAGGUUUGAUAAGCAUGCUUUAUUCCAAGCAAAAUGGCAAUAUGAAAGAGGGUGCCAGAAUGCUUCUGGAAAAAGAGGGUGAGGAAGUAUCAGGAGAGAAGAUAAACUUGGAAACACAGAUGACAACUGCACACGUGUAGCCAUGAAAAGCUGGACAUAUAUUAUGAAUUUGAAAUUUCCUGCAAAUACAUUCAUAAAAUAUUGCCAUUAUGGCAUAACAUUCUUAUAAAAUAAGCACCAACGUUCCAGAGUCUGGGCUGAGGGCCAGCAGACUGUGAACUUUGCUUCUAGAAUGAAUCACUGCUGUUGUUUUUCUCAGUGUCAUACAGUUUUCCUAGUAGAUGCAAAAGGCCAAUCUAUGGAAGAUUAACUUGAAUGAAUAAAUAAAAUUUGCUGUGACAAAUGGGAUCAAAAUCAAGACAACUUAGUCAUCAUUCCAUCUCACCCU